UAUGCAUAAAUAAACAAUUCGGUAAUCUCUACUAUAAUUGAAAUCUUCUUCAAGUCACAUUCUCUUUCAAGAUCAACGGCUCACAAAACACCAACUAGGAAUCCAACGUCUGAAAUUAAGAUGUUAGAAGCCGCAUCCAACUAUCCUGAGUCCCACGCCGCCCGCGCCAACUCUGCCCGCAAACCCUCACGCGUGCGCUCCGCGACGAGGUUUCGAAUCCACCAGACCGCGUCGUUUCUAUUUUCUCCAAGAAAAAAAAGAAACAUCGUCCUCUCCUCUCCCCUCCCCACCGCCGCACCGCUGUGUCUUCGCCGCCCGUGCCACCCUACCGCCUAGCCGCACGUGAGAAACAAGACCACCGUUGGCGCGACCUCCCCUUCUCCAUGGCCGGCGACUAGGAGGAUGGGGCAUUGCUGAAGGACGCUCCUGCCCUCCUCCAUCCCCAGCGCUUCCUAGUAGUCCAGCCCCUUGACACCCUAACCCAAAUCCUCUAAUUUCUUUGGUUGCCUCCAAUCCAUCGCCAGGUAGCGUGGAGCCGCGCUCGCCUGCUCGCCCCAUGACGCGCGGCGGCGCCCUCGCUGGGGCCAGACGCGUCGCCGUCUCUGCGUGCGGGUCCUCAGCCGCGCGCCGCUCCCACUCGUUCCUGGUGCUCAAGCGGAUCGACCUCUCCGCCUACGACUCACUUGAUGACGCCUCCUCACCGUGGUCGUCAACAUCCUCCGCAACGUGUGCCUCGCGCGGGCAAACGGGGUCGGCUGGUGUGGCCUCGAGGCCUUUGUACAGUCCACCGGUGCACCUGGUGUGCAGGGCUUCUUCAUCACCUACGACGGUGCCCGCGAGCGCCAUUCCACCGGCGAGGGGCUCUCCCUCCUUUUGACUCUGUAAGCUGCUACCCACUAUUUUGCUUCUCCGUCAUUGGCCCCCGUGUACUGUGGCCAUUCCUUGUGAUGCACGCUCGCUAGGUGUUUGUCAUAUUUCCCCCGCCUGCCUGGUCUGGUUGAGGGCAGUGUGAAUGGCAGCGGAUUUGUCACCGGUCUAGCUUGUGUUUUCCUCACGAUGAGUCCGUGUUGUCGCUUAUUAAUCCCAUUGCUUGUCAUCAGGUGUGUGUGCGAGUACAUGCUUUGCUCGGUGUUGCUCUAGCAACACAUAUAUAUUGCAUGUUUUGCUGUGCACCUUUUGCGUAAACUGGCCAAAAACUUGAAAUAUUGCAUGUUUUAUUGAAAAUAUAUAUAUAUAUUUAUAUAUCAGUAAGUUAUUCAAAAGAAAAGAUGUUUCAAAAUACAGAAUAAAAAAGAGAUCUGCUCAACAAUCAGCAGCUUGGUGCUACUUGUCUCGCUGGUUAUCUCUGGUGACAUUGACACUGUUAUUUCAAAUCCUACAGAUAAUAUCAUUUCAUCCCCGUACAACCAAAAACCUGAAAAUAUCGUUCAUGUAAGUAUGUAGUUAUAAGUUUCAAUCCUAAGAAAUCAUUGUUGUCAAACUGCCUAAGAAAUCAUUAUUGUCAAACAACACCAAGUCAGAGACGAUGCUCCUGCAUAGGUCAGCAGGGAGAUCCCUUGACAACAUGUCCAGUGCUGUUCUCAUCGAGAAACACAGUCCUACAUCAAGUCUACAACAGUGCUGAAAAAUAAUGGAGUGCCUCAACCUGCCCUUCCCACAAGUAACCAUCCUCCUCAGGUUCAGUUGGCCGCCAUGGUGCAAGAGCAGCCACCCCGAGUCUGAUGAUAUCACAGGCAAUCCUGGACAAGAUUCUUUUAAACAUUUCAGUAAAAAUCAAAUCAAAUGGUUAUUUGAGUUGUAAAUUGUUCGUGUCAUCAUGUGACUGACCAAUACUGGAAUUAUGAUUUAACAGGGAGUUAUGUGGCAAUGAUAGACAUUUUUAGAUGCCGAUGCAAAUCAGAUUGGGAAAAAAUAUAAAACAGAGUGGGAGAAUUUUCAAAAGCUGAUGCAAAUCAAGAUGAGAAAAUAGAUAGAAUAGAGUCAGAGAUUUUUGUCACAACAAAGAAAUCCUUCCUUGAUGACGAUAUUGACUUUGCCAUUCCUCAAGUAUGAGGAGUUCUACGAGAGGGAAUUCUGUUUAGGUUGGGUUUGAGUUAAGAGUUGAGUAAGAUAUUCGCCCCUAAAUUUCUCCAAUCAUCAUGUAUUAUUGCUCUGAGAGUUAUUGGUCAACAUACUUAUUGUAUCUCAGGAAUGCGAUAAUAUAUUGGUUAAUGGAACCUGUACCCUUUGAAUUUUAAGGUGAAGAAGGGCUUUAGCAGUAAUUCUGGUUCAGUAAUGGAGGCAAUAUAUUCCCUGUCAAGAUUGUUUUGAUA